AAAGUAUUUUAUAACAUUCUUUCUUUUUCAGGUUAUAAUUGUCAAUCUUAAUAUUUAUUACCUUCAGUAUUCUCGUACCUGUAAGUGAAAUGGUCUCGGUUUUUUUUUUUCAUUGGCCAACUGUAAGUCUGUUGUCGAACAUCAAUUAUUGACUGUUAUCACCACUUCUUUUAGUUUAACUUUAAUAUUAAGUUAUAAAUGUUUAAUAUCAUUUUUUUUCCUUUUUUUUUUAUUAAGGCAAUUGAGGUUAAUCUAUCCAUUUCUUUCAGCUGACCAUCAUAUACUAUGUUCUACAAAAAUGGACCCAUAACCAAUCCCUGUGGGAUUUUUGCAUAUACAUUUCUUUCUACGAUAAUUAAUUAUGUACAAGUCCCAUUGAUUUAUAAGGUUCCGCUAUCUUCAUUAUUCGACAAGCAGUGUUAUACUAUAUACCACCAUACUACGUUGCCUCUUAAAAUCGUUUUGGCUAUUGUCUAUUUCGGUUGUGUGCUAGUUUUAACUUGUUCAAGUGUACUGUUCGCAGAAUCCCCUUCAUUUCAAUCUUGACGUUUUGAUUCUGCAAAAUUUCUAACACUUUAUCCGGCCGUGUAUAUUGGUCAGAAAAUUUUCCUUUGCUAGGUUCCUUAGUAGAUAUACCAGAUCUCCUACUUUGUAAUUUUGCGGGUUGAUUCGUCUGUCGUAAUAUUCUUUUGACUUUAACUGGGAUUUCAUCAAAUUUUCUCUUGCCAUUUGCUGCACGGUGUUGAUUUUAUCAAACAGGUCUCUGAGAUAUUCCGCAUAUGUUGGUUCCAUGUUCUCUUCGAUUAUCAUUUCACCAGUGGGUUCCCUGGCCAAGUGCCCAAAGACUAAUUUAUGCGGAGAGAAUUUCGUUCCUUCGUGUACAGAGGUGUUAUAAGAAAACAUGGAUAAUUCCACUUAUUCGUCCCAGUUUCUGGAAUUUUCGAUGUAUAACUUGAGAUAUUCGGUGAACACGUGGUGAGAUCUUUCAAUUGAACCGCUGCUUUAUCUAUGGUAUGCCGACGUGGUGUAUUGUUUGAUGCGAAAUCUCUUUGCCACUUUCUUCAUUAGCGAAGAUGUAAAGUUCGCUCCCUAGUUGGUAAGAAUGGUGACCCGAAUCGGCAAAUAAAUCGUUUUACGAAAACGUUCGUUAUCUGAGGAGAUCCCUUCUAUCGGAAUCCCGAUCGAAUACUUUGUCAAUAAAUCUUGAAUAGUUAAUAUAUAUUCAUUUCCCUUUUGUGUUCUUGGUAAUGGACCGACGAUAUCCAUACUAAUUUUGUCGAAAGUUUUGCCCGGUGUAUCUGUGAGCACUAUUGGUUGUUUUGUUUUUAUUCUAGUCAGCUUCUUCAAUUGGCAUUCCUUACAGGUUCUUAUAUAUUCUUGAAUUUCCUUCUUCAUGUUUUCCCAGUAAUAAUAUCGUAUUCUUUGAUAGGUCUUCGUUACUCCUUUGUGUCCCGCUACGCAUGAUUCGUGUUUCUCUUGUAUUAUAUUAUUUCGUAUUUCAACUGGUGAUGUGAUUACUUCCCCAGUGCAGGUGGUGAUAGUUAUGGUUUUUUCCAUAAAUACUCCCUUCAAUUCCCUGAUUGCGCGUCGCCAGGGUAUUUCUUCCAAAUUUCCUUUACUAAUGCUAAAGGACGUUAAUUAUUUUUCGCUUACUACGUUCAGUAAGGAUCUCAAUGAAUUUAGUAAACUUUCUGGCGUUAUAGGAAUAUUUCGGUUUUCCUUUACGGGUAGGAAUAUGAUGUAUUUUUCAGAGUCUUGAUUCAACCUUGCUCUUUUCAACAUUAGGUCUUCAUAAUGCGGCAGUUUCCCUGCUUCCUUCAUUUCUAAGGCUCCUUCAUUUAUCGGAGCACACUGUAUAUCGACGAAUAUUACUUUAUGAUCAUUCACUCUCGUAACUGAGUCUCGCGUUUCCGAAAUUUUUAGUUCCGCAAGUACCGUAGGUUUCGCGUCUUCUCCUCGUUGCCGAGUUGCUUCAGAGUCCACCGUAGAAGGCUCUUCCUCACUUAUUGCUUCGAUGUCCUCUAUUUCUCGAUCGGCUACUUCCUCGCCUGUGUUUACAUCGAUUUCGGCUAAUGCUUGGUCAAAAUAUUUUACGAGUGUUUCUUCUAUGGCAAGAUGGUGUCGAA